GUUUACAGAACACCUUUUAUUUGGUUCAUUAUGUUGGAACCAUAAAACAACACUGAGUUAGGCAGAGAAGAACUUAAGAUGCAGGGAGUUUUUUGUAUCCGCUUUAUUCAUUCCCUUUUCUAACCCUGCUCUGAGCAGCUGGGAAGAGAAUGCGGAGAAGGAGGGCAGAUGUGGGCGCAGCGAAAGAAGAGGAACCUGCUGUGAAGGCCUCUCUUGAAAUAGCUGAUGAAUAAAUCCUUACAAAGUAAGGAGAUAAGUAGAACCAAAGAACCUAUGGAUUGGAAGAAUGGACUGGGAAGGAUAGAGACAGAAUGGAAGAUUGUCAUCAGUCUAGAAGCAAUAUGGAAAAGUGGUAGAUGGAUAAGGAAGGAAAUGGCAGGUGGGAAAAAUGUAGAGACUGAAUAGAAGGUUGUGAUGAGACUAGAGGCAAUAUGAAAAAGUUAUAUCAAAAAAAAAAAAAGGCAAAAACAACAGGGAUUUUAGAAGCCAGAUGGAGCUGGGAUCCUGGUGUCACUUCGGAGCUAGCUCUAUGACCUUGGGAAGGUCAACGGAGAUGGGCAAGGGGAGGUAAAGAGUCAAUGACACCUGGCAGGAACGGCGGAAGUGAAAUUGGGAAAGCUGCAGGAGGGCCGUGACUCGGAAGUCAAGGAAGGAAGGAGAAGUGAAGAGGAGCUCAUUAACAGGUCAAAUGCUAUAGAGAGGUAGCCAGUGACAAUAGAAAAGCAGGCUACUGGAUUUACAGAACCAGUCUGUUGGGAUGGAUCUACCUCCGGGAGUUGUUUUGGAAAUUUACCAGAGUGAUUUUCCUUGUCCCAGGGACUGGGGAGAACUACUGGAAUGUAGUUGGUGGGGCCAAAAGAUGCUAGAUAUCUUGCAGUGCCCAGGCUAGUACGCCAUAGCAAAGAAUUUCCUACAUGCUGUGUGACGACUAUUCUACUGUCCAUUCGUGUAGAUCAAAAACCUAUUUAUAUUUAUCGGAGCCUAGAAUCUCUUUUAUAUAUAAACAUAAAGUGUUUUUCACACA